rnacentral:lncRNA from 1 species
CAACAUUGUUGCAUAGCUACUAAUAUAUUCCGCUUCCAACGGUGAUGAGACUCUAUUUCAUUUCGCAUGCCCUGCUCCUCUAUAUUCACCAUAUUCACCACGUAUCACCCAUCCCAUCUUACAUUGGGUUAUAGUUGAAGUAACAUAAAUUGUAAAAAUUAUGAAGCAAUUGUAAGACAUACUAAAUAAUAUAAAUUGUCAUAAAAAUUGAAAUCAUAUUUAGUUUUAUAUUGAAAAUACUAUCUUAAAUCGAAACAAAAUUUGUUGGCUAAACAUCACUUGUAUGACUUUUUCUAAACAAGAAUAUUUGUUUUCGAAAAC